GACGAACGCUGGCGGCGUGCUUAACACAUGCAAGUCGAACGGAAAGGCCCUGCUUUUGUGGGGUGCUCGAGUGGCGAACGGGUGAGUAACACGUGAGUAACCUGCCCUUGACUUUGGGAUAACUUCAGGAAACUGGGGCUAAUACCGGAUAGGAGCUCCUGCUGCAUGGUGGGGGUUGGAAAGUUUCGGCGGUUGGGGAUGGACUCGCGGCUUAUCAGCUUGUUGGUGGGGUAGUGGCUUACCAAGGCUUUGACGGGUAGCCGGCCUGAGAGGGUGACCGGCCACAUUGGGACUGAGAUACGGCCCAGACUCCUACGGGAGGCAGCAGUGGGGAAUAUUGCACAAUGGGCGGAAGCCUGAUGCAGCAACGCCGCGUGCGGGAUGACGGCCUUCGGGUUGUAAACCGCUUUCGCCUGUGACGAAGCGCGAGUGACGGUAAUGGGUAAAGAAGCACCGGCUAACUACAUG
rnacentral:rRNA from 1 species